GCUGGCGGAGGGGGAGCGGGAACAGCUGGCUGAGGAGAGGGGCUCUCGUCUUGUGGUGCAGGAUUUCAUUACUCCUAAUUUCCAGCAAGUUACAGUUCAGGACAUCAUGAAAAUGAGGCAGUGCAAAGGAUACAUUCAGAACUGCCUGGAUGACUUGCAGCCGCAAGGAAAGAUGGACGGGAAGGAGAUAAAACAUUUCCAACUUGUGAGGAAGCUGUGAAGAUGAUUAAUAUAGUGUAACACUACGUUAGCAGUACAGUGUCUCUAGCAUUCCGGUGAUAUUUGGAUGUACCUGACAUAAAACAAUAGGCUGUGCUGCCAUGAGAAGCAAGGUGAGACGUGAGAUGUUCUAAUUGGAAACUGUUAAAAUUCUUCUGCGCCUAUUCUGCAAAUCCACUCUCAUUCCUUACCCCCACAGCGACUAAAGAUACACUAGCCCACUCACAUAUCCUCUCCUUUGACUCUGGUGGCAGAUAUAUUUUAAACACACACUGACUGACUCCCGGUCCCUGCGUGUUUUGUAUUCUCUCUGAGAGGAGAGACCCUCAGGGCCUGACUCAAGGGGUGAUUUCACUGAGGUGCUUAUGUUAAAGCAAG